CAACAUUUAAACACUGGAAAUCUAUGCUAUUUGAGUUUCAUACCUCUCAGUGGAAGUCUCAAACCUUGGAAAGGACAUCUUAAUGUAAACACUUAAAUCUUUUUUGAGCAGGAAUAAGGUGUUCUUUCUUACCUGUAUGUUAAUGGUUGUGAUUAAAGCUUUAUUUAUAACACAUGUGGUAAUAAAUCUUUCUCCUAUAAAGCAACAUAUUAUCACUUUUAGUAAAGUUAAAAAAAUGUUUUUGGGGACACCUGGGAUUCUCUCUCUCCCUCUCUCUCUGCUUGGCAUUCUCUUUCUCUGCUCCUUUCCCACUCUCAAAAUAAAUAAAUAAAACUUAAAUGUUUUGGGGGGCACCUGGUUAUCUCAGUUGGUUAAGCGUUGACGUCAGCUCAGGUUGUGAUCUCGUGGUUCAUGAGUUCAAGCUGCAUCGGGCUCCCUGCUGUCAGCAUGGAACCUGCUUUGGAUCCUCUGUCCACCCCCUCUCUCUGCCCCUCCCCUGCUCGUGCCUGUGUGCGCUCUCUCUCAAAAAUAAACAUUGGGGCAUCUGGGUGGCUCAGUUGGUUAAGCAUCCGACUUCAGCUCAGGUCAUUAUCUUGUGGUUUGUGAGUUUGAGCCCUGCGUUGGACUGUGCUGACAGCUCAGAGCUUGGAGCCUGCUUUGGAUUCUGUCUCCUUCUCUCUCUGCCCCUCCUCUGCUCCCACUCUGUCUUUCUCUCAAAUAAAUAAAUAAAUAAAUAAAUAAAUAAAUAAAUAAAUAAAGUUUUUGGAUCAUUUGAGUGAAAAAUGCUAAGGAUUCAGUAGUUAAGAUGAAUUAAAGAAUUAAUUGAAAACCUUUCUUAAGUGGUAUUUGGUAAUAAAAUACCUUACCAUUAAAGUAACAUUUUGGGAAAAAAAAUAAUUUUUAGACAUAUCUAUGAGAGACAAAAUUGUUCAGCUAAUAGUCAUUUUGGAGCUUUGCUGCUACUUAAUUGGAAGGGCUAAUGGAAAUAAAGGAGUGUCUGGUAAUCAUUAUCAUCCUUUGGUGUGAUCAUUAAUAGACUAUUAUACUCUGUUUUAAAGUUUUCAUGUUAAAUUUUAGCUGCAUUUUAUUAUUUUUUUUUAAGUUUAUUUUGAGAGAGAGAGCAAGCACAUGUGGGGAAGGGGCAGAGAGAAAGAGGGAGAGAGAAUCCCAAGCAGGCUCUGCAUUACCAGUGCAGAGCCUGAUGUGGGGCUCAAAUUGACAUAGAGCGAGAUCAUAACCUGAGCCAAAGUCAGAGACUUAGCCAACUGAGCCACUCAGGUGCCCCUUAGCCGCAUUUUAAAUUGCAAAACUGAGAUGUAAAAAUUUCAGCUCAUCCUUGGUGGUAUCUGACUUAGGUAUUUUUAUAAUCUACCUAAUUAUUCAGAUACAUGCACAGAGUACUUUUAGUUUUAUUUAUUUGAUACAAACUAGAUUUUUAUCAAGAAAUUUGUUUCUUGAGUCUUUAUUAUUAGAAAAGCGUACAACUUGGUAACUAGAUCUCUAGACUGGUGACAGAAAGAUACACUGUAUAAGCUGGCCAAGGCAAUGUGCAUUUUCUAUGAUCAUUAUUAGAUUUAUUGAAUGUGAACAAUUGAUGAGAUUUUGUGCAGUCUAGACAGUGUUAGCCCAACAGACUGAAACAAAUGAAAUAAAUACUGGGAGACAAUUUAAGAAUUUAUUCAACAAUUACCUAUAUAAUCCUUGCUAAAAAUGUUUAAUCUGGAUCAAGUUAUAAUAAACAAUCAGACAAAUCCAGUUUGUGGGAUUUCUCUAAAACAACUGGUCUGAACUCUUCGAAAAUGUCAAGGUGAUAAAAAAUAUAAAAGGCAGAGAGACUAUUAUAGAUGAAAGAAAAUGAAAGAGAAAUGACAAGUAUAUUGCCAAGCCUGGAUUGGGAAAAUAAAAAGCUGUACAGGCCAUUUUGGAGACAACUGAGGAAAUUUGAAUAUGGAGUAUAUAAUAGAUAAUAACAUGUCAGUGUUAAAUGUCCGGAUCUGAUGAUAAUGGUAUUGUGCUUAUAAAGGAGAAUGUUCUUAUUCUUAGCCAAUACCUGAUGUAGUAUUUACAUUGAAAUGUCAUGAUGUCAGCAAUUUGCUUUCAAAUGGUUCAGAAAAAAAAAUUAUGUAUUUGUUGAGAGAGAGUAAAAGUAGCAAAAUGUUCACCAUGUUGAAAAGGUAAGGAGCAAAUGUGUAUUCAUUUAACUAUUCUUUUACUUUUUUUUUUAAGGUGCGCCCCAGAUUUUUAAAAAGCUUUUAUUUAUUUGUUUUGAGAGAGAGGGAGAAAGCCCAAGUUUGAACAGGGGGUGGGGCAGAGGGAGAGGGAGACUGAGAGUCCCAAGCAGACAAAGAAUCCCAAGCAGGUUCUGUGCCCCCAGCGCAGAGCCGGACAUGGGUCUCAAACGCCAUCCAGGCGCCCCAAGAUUUUAUUUUUAAGUAAUCUCUACACCCAGCGCGGCCUUGAACUCACAACUCACAAAAAAUCAAGAGUUGCACACUCCACCCACUGAGCCAGCCAGGUACCCCUAAUCUUUUACUUUCUUAUAGGAUUUCAGUUUUUCAAAAUACAAAGUUGGGGAGAGAAAGGCUUCGGAAAGGCUACCAUCGUAUUUAAGGAUUCAGUAGUGUCUUAGGGAAAGCUUAAAAGAAGAAAACUUUAAAGUAUAUUAUACCUGAUGUGAAGUAGAGGUAACUUCUUUAGCAGAACAAGAGGUUAUUGCAGUUACAUAGGGUUUGGAAAAACAUGCAGAAAUGAGGAUGGAGAAAAACAAAGUGUAUUUGAUUAAGGAGUAGACAGGGUGGGUAAGACUAGAAACCUCAAAGAAUUGAAAGAGGUAAAACAAAAAAGAGGAAGAGAGAUAGCUGAAAACUACUAGGGCAAUUGAUGGUGAUUCUAUUAAGGGAAUAGCAAGAUUAUUUUGAUGGCUAUAUGUUUUUAAAAACCCAAAGCUUAAUUGGCUUAUAAAUGUAACUCAAUUAUAGGUAAUUGAGGGGCGCCUGGGGGCUCAGUCAGUUGAGUGUCCGACUUCGGCUCAGGUCAUGAUCUCACGGCUUGUGAGUUCGAGCCCCGCGGUGGGCUCUGUGCUGACAGCUCAGAGCCUGGAGCCUGCUUCGGAUUCUGUGUGUCCCUCUCUCUCUGCCCCUUUCCCACUUGUACUCUGUCUCUCUCUCAAAAGUAAAUAAAGCAUUAAAAAAAUUAAAAGAAUUAUAGACAAUUGAAACAUCGUACAAAUAGAAAUUGUGGAAAGUGAGACCUGUUUUAAUUUUAUUGAAGAGAUUAUGAAAAAAGUGGGAAAAGGUGGCAUAGGGAUAAAACAAAUAUUCAAAAGCACUAAUAAGCAGAGGAGAUAGAAAGGAUUUUCUAAGUGUAUUUCCCCAUCCCUGUUAAUCACACCACUUACCCAUUUAGUCACUGGCUCAGAUGACAAGCCUGGGAGUCAGGCCAGACCCUGUCCUGUCCCUUGCACUUCACAUCCAGUUCUUCCAGACUCAGUUCUAUGGACUUUUGGUUUGCACAUAGCCUUCUACUUCAUCUCCCUCUCUGACUUCUUGUUUAUACCAUUGCAGUAGCCUUGUGCUAGGGCUAUUUAAUCUAAUGUCCAUAUUGCCAUCAUGAUCUGUAGAUAAUGUAAAGGAUUAUUCUUAUGCUUGAAAUCCUUCAUGAGCCUGUUCUGCCCACAGAAUGAACUCUAAACUCUGUUGAUCUAUAGUUCCCCUCAUGCUAAACUGUGUGUUACUUUCUCCUCUCAUUUCAUACCCCUGUUCCCAAACUUUACUACUGCUUGUGGUCCCUAGAAUGCCAUGAAAUUUUAUAUCUGUGAAUGGGUUCUUUGUAUUAUUUUUAUAUAGACUCUUGUGCCCCAACUUGACCAGCUCCUAUUUCUCUUUCAAGAUUUAGCUAAGAGGACAUCUGAGAAGCAUUUUCUCUUUUACUAAGAGGCUGUCUAGAAUAAUGGUUUUUAGAACACAGGCUUGGAAGUCAGACAUACUUGGAUUCAAAUGCUGCGUCUUUUAGUAGCAGUAUGACCUUGGACCAGUCACUUAAUCUUGUUUUUCCUCAGCUUCUCUAUCUGAAGAAAAGGGAUAAUAUAACCCACUUUACAGGAUAGUUGUAAAGAUUAAAUAAACUCCACAAACAGUGAUAGGGGCCUAGUAAGUGCUCAAUGUAUGUUAGCUGCUAUCAUCAUCAUUAGAAGGGUUAGAUACUGGGGCCCCUGGGUGGCUCAGUUUGUUAAGCAUCUGACUCGUUUUCUUUUUUUAAUAUUUAUUUAUUUCUGGGGAGAGCGCAAGCAGGGGAGGGACAGAGAGAGGGGGACAGAGGAUCUGAAGCAGGCUCUGCACUGACAGCCUGACAGCAGCAAGCCCAAUGUGAUGCUGGAACUCAUGAACCAGGAGAUCAUGACCUGAGUGGAAGUGGGUCGCUCAACCAACUGAGCCACCCAGGUGCCCUGCGUCUGACUCUUGAGUUUGGCUCAGGUCAUGAUCUCGCAAGUUAUUGAGUUUGAGCCCUGCUUUGGGUUCAUAUAUGUAUGUGUACAUAUAUUUGUGUACAUAUAUGUAUAUAUAAAAAUAUAUAUAUAUAUAUGAAGGGUUAGAUAUUGCUCCUAUGAACAGUCUCAUUGCUUUUCAAAUUUCUCUAAAUAUUUUUGUUAUUUAUUUACAUUAAACUAUUCUCUUCAAGGGCAAGAACUGUGCAUUAUUAAUGCUGGAUACAGUGCCUAGCACAUAAAUGCUUAGUAAAUGUUUAAGUAAGUGAAAGCUUAAGAAGCUUAUUUUAUGGAAGAUAGUGUAGAAAAGGGCACAGGCUCUGCUAAUUACUAGCUCUGAUACUUUUUUAUUUAUUUUCCUUGCUUGAAGUUUAUUAUUUUUAAAAAGAAUUUUUUAAAUGUUUAUUUAUUUUUGAGAGAGAGAGAGAGACAGAAUGAGCAGGGGAGGGGCAGAGAGAGAGGGAGACACAGAAUCUGAAGCAGGCUCCAGGCUCUGAACUGUCAGCACAGAGCCCAACGCGGGGCUCGAACCCAUGAACCGUGAGAUCAUGACCUGAGCUGAAGUCUGACGCUUAACCGACUGGGCCACCCAGGUGCCUCUAUUACUAUUUUUUUUUAAGUUUAUUUAUUUUGAGAGACAGAGCGAGCAGAGGAAGGGGCAGGGAGAGAAAGGGAGAGAGAGAAUCCCCAGCAUUCUCUGCAGUGUUAGAGUGGAGCCCCGAUGUGGGACUCAAACUCAUGAACCUUGAGAUCAUGACCUGAACCAAAAUCAAGAGUCAGAUGCCUAGCUGACUGAGCCACCCAGGUGCCCUUCCUUGCUUUGAGUUUAAAAUGAGUGAUAACAGGGGGCGCUUGGGUGGCUCAGUCAGUUGAGUGUCUGACUUUGACUCAGGUCAUGAUCUCACAGUUCAUGAGUUUGAGCCCCACGACCGGGCUCUGUGCUGACCGCUCAGAGCCUAGAGCUUGCUUUGGAUUGAUUCUGUGUCUCCCUCUCUGCCCCUCCCCUAUUGUAUGUAAAGCAUAGUACCUCUAGUGGGUGCUUAAUAAAUGUUAGCUGUUCUUUAUUAAAGGAGUUAAUCUUGAGUCUUAGUGAGAUUUGAUAGCAGAUCUGUUUGACUUUAAGUGGCAUAUGUGAAAUGAAUGUUUAAGAGUGUUGUAUUUUAUGUUUCCCAACUGUAGUCUCCUUAGGACUUUUGAAAGGAUUUAAACCUAAAAUGCUUGAUAAGGAAAUUUCCUUUGGGGCAUCUGGGUGGCUCAGUAAUUAAGCUUGUGCCUUUGUCUUGGAUCAUAAUCUCAGGGUUCAUGAGUUCUAGCCCCGCAUCAGGCUUUCAGUGCAGAUCCUGCUUCGGAUCCUCUGUCCCCUUCUCUCUCUGCCCCUCCCUUGCUUGUGCUCUCUCCGCCUCUCAAAAA